CCUGGUUCUAUUUACAGCUAAGGUCAGCAGCGGAGGAGUACAGCAUGCUGGGAGGCUGUGRUGUGGCUCAGUCGGUUUGACCCACACCUGCUGCGUAUCCUUUACUCAAACCCUGGAGGGUGAGCGUGUCAUUAUGCGAAGCGUCCCUGUUUCCUGUGCCCUGUCAUCCAGCCACCCUCACCUGUUUCCAGUCUCCAAUUAGGUCAGCUGUUUCCGAGACCUCGUUAGCUCGAUAGGACCCGUCUUUUGUGCUCCUCAUGUAAUCCCUGAGUUCUCUCUCAACAUCUCUCUCGCUCUUCGUUCCACACCUUCACCUACCACAGUUGUGAACAGCACUUGUCUUCUCGCUGAUGUUUCUGAUGACAGCUGACAUUUCUACAAAUAGCCUGGGAAGCGGUGGAGACGAUGGAGGUGCUGAAGGAGAUCAGACCUGGAGCUCACCAUGAGACAGACUCACUCGGAGCUGAUCUCGUGAGUGUGCCGUCUCGCGAUCAGCUGUUGGCUUUUAUACGGCGCAGUGCGCGCGCAACAGAAGGAGAGAGAGAGGCUGAGGAGGGAGGGAUGGAUGGAUGGAUGGACACACGGGUGGAUGGAUGGAUGGACACACGGGUGGAUGGAGUGCUUAAUUUAAUCCAUCCCGAGUCCCCCGGGAGCAGCGGCUGGCCCCGGAUGAUUUAUUGAAGCUGUUAUCACCCCCUCUUUUCUCUUUCUUUCUCCGUCUUUCACUCUCCUCCCUCUUUUGUCGUGUGUGUGUGUGUGUGUGUGUGUG